UGGAAAGUUCAACAAGUUUAAGGAUAAUAAGAGAAAGUUGGAUCGGGAUAAUAGUGAUUCCAACAAGAAACCAAAAGGGGGUUGUUGAAGAUGUGGCAAACCGGGGCAUUUCAAGAAAGAUUGUCAUGUGAAGAUUACUAGUGGAAACAAAGCUAACAUAGCGGGUCCAAGUGGGUCGAAAGAUCCGAAUGCUUCACAAGAUGACAUGCUUGCAUGGUGGGUAGACUCGGGUGCUACGAGUCACGUUUGCAAGGAUCUCAAAUGGUUUGAGGAAUUUGAACCACUUGAAGAUGGAUCUGUACUAAGGAUGGGGAUUGUUGCAACUGAGCCCAUCAAAGGAGUUGGAAAAAUUAGACUUGUAUU
rnacentral:lncRNA from 1 species